UACGAAGGGGGCUAGCGUUGUUCGGAAUUACUGGGCGUAAAGCGCACGUAGGCGGAUAUUUAAGUCAGGGGUGAAAUCCCAGAGCUCAACUCUGGAACUGCCUUUGAUACUGGGUAUCUUGAGUAUGGAAGAGGUAAGUGGAAUUGCGAGUGUAGAGGUGAAAUUCGUAGAUAUUCGCAGGAACACCAGUGGCGAAGGCGGCUUACUGGUCCGGAACUGACGCUGAGGUGCGAAAGCGUGGGGAGCAAACAGG
rnacentral:rRNA from 1 species